CACAGCAGCCGCGGUAACACCGGCGGCUCGAGUGGUAACCGUUAUUAUUGGGUCUAAAGGGUCUGUAGCCGGCCGGAUAAGUCUCUUGAGAAAUCUGGCAGCUUAACUGUCAGGCUUUCAGGAGAUACUGUCUGGCUCGAGGCCGGGAGAGGUGAGCGGUACUUCAGGGGUAGGGGUGAAAUCUUGUAAUCCUUGAAGGACCACCAGUGGCGAAGGCGUCUCACCAGAACGGACCUGACGGCAAGGGACGAAAGCUAGGGGCACGAACCGGAUUAGAUACCCGGGUAGUCCUAGCCGUAAACGAUACUCGCUAGGCGUCGGCCACGGUGCGACCGUUGUCGGUGCCGUAGGGGAGCCGUGAAGCGAGCCACCUGGGAAGUACGGCCGCAAGGCUGAAACUUAAAGGAAUUGGCGGGGGAU
rnacentral:rRNA from 1 species